GUGGGGAAUCUUCCGCAAUGGACGAAAGUCUGACGGAGCAACGCCGCGUGAGUGAAGAAGGUUUUCGGAUCGUAAAGCUCUUUCGUUAGGGACGAACGUGCUCUUUGUGAAUAAUGAGGAGUAAUGACGGUACCUAAAUAAGAAGCCACGGCUAACUACGUGCCAGCAGCCGCGGUAAUACGUAGGUGGCAAGCGUUGUCCGGAAUUAUUGGGCGUAAAGCGCGCGCAGGCGGGAUAUCAAGUCUGUCUUAAAAGUGCGAGGCUCAACCUCGUGAGGGGACAGAAACUGGUAUUCUUGAGUGUCGGAGAGGAAAGUGGAAUUCCAAGUGUAGCGGUGAAAUGCGUAGAGAUUUGGAAGAACACCAGUGGCGAAGGCGACUUUCUGGACGAUGUCUGACGCUGAGGCGCGAAAGCCAGGGGAGCGAACGGGAUUAGAAACCCGAGUAGUCC
rnacentral:rRNA from 1 species